rnacentral:rRNA from 1 species
GAUGAACGCUGGCGGCGUGCCUAAUACAUGCAAGUCGAGUGAACGGACGAGAAGCUUGCUUCUCUGAUGUUAGCGGCGGACGGGUGAGUAACACGUGGAUAACCUACCUAUAAGACUGGGAUAACUUCGGGAAACCGGAGCUAAUACCGGAUAAUAUUUUGAACCGCAUGGUUCAAAAGUGAAAGACGGUCUUGCUGUCACUUAUAGAUGGAUCCGCGCUGCAUUUGCUAGUUGGUAAGGUAACGGCUUACCAAGGCAACGAUGCAUAGCCGACCUGAGAGGGUGAUCGGCCACACUGGAACUGAGACACGGUCCAGACUCCUACGGGAGGCAGCAGUAGGGAAUCUUCCGCAAUGGGCGAAAGCCUGACGGAGCAACGCCGCGUGAGUGAUGAAGGUCUUCGGAUCGUAAAACUCUGUUAUUAGGGAAGAACAUAUGUGUAAGUAACUGUGCACAUCUUGACGGUACCUAAUCAGAAAGCCACGGCUAACUACGUG